ensembl:lncRNA
GCUCGGAUCUCCACCUGGUUUGGCGCUUGGCUGAGUUUUGCCCCUUAGGGCUUUCCAUACUGAGUUUCAGAACUCUUCACUUCAGCGGGUAAGAAGCGCCCGAUUUCCUGGUACGAGGCACAAUGGGCAUUUCUUUGAACUGGGGGAGAAUGACUCGAAUAGACGAGAGCGGAGAUGAAAACAGGCCUAGCCAAACACUCGGGGCAGCAGCAGAGCCCGGAAACUGACAGGCGGUUCCUAAACAGAUAUGAAGCUUCGCUAUUGGUUGGAGCUCACCGAUCCAGUUUACCGAAUGGCCAGCGCGAUCCGUCACUCACCGAGUCGGCGCAUGUAGUAUAAUCCGUCGCUGGAUACAGAAAUGAAUUGUAGAAGUAAGAUUGAUGUGUUGUGCGGUGAUAAAGUUUCCUAACUGUGGUUUGGUCUGUCUGAAGGAUUCACGAUUUGUUUAUGUGAAUUAGCAGACAUUUUAUUUACUUGUAUUUAAAUUACAGGCGCGUGGUGUAAACACUUUCCUCGCGUUAUAGUUUGGUCUAUUUGCAUAUUUGAGGCAAAGUCACUCAGUAGUUUUAUUAUUAUUUUUUUUGUAGUGCACUUACUAGGGUAGGUUUAUGACAAACUCGAUCUGAUAUAAAGAAAUCCAAGAUGAGGUUUUCAAACAUUUAAAAUAAGUGAAAUAUUGAGGUGAUAAAAUUCAGGUUUGAAUUGGAAUCCACGGACAGGUGUGGAAAUACCUUUUCUUCAUAAUCUGCUCAUUUCUCUCAAAGGCACUAUUUAGUUUGGUGGUGCACUAUACCUCUUUUACUCAAUAAACACUAAUGCUUCUUUACACAGCAGCUCACUUUACUUCCUAGUCACAGUACUCCAUCGCUGCUCCACUUGUGCAGUGUGCUGUUGUUCCUUUACUCAGUAGUAGUGUUCAAGACUGCUUUAGCUGUGACCGAUAGAAUCCGAGACAAGACCAUAGCCGAUAGAAUCCGAGACAAGACCAUAGCCAAUAGACUCCAAGUCAAGACCAAGACCAUAGCCAAUAGACUCCGAGUCAAGACCAUAGCCAACAGACUCCGAACCAAGACCAUAGCCAAUAGACUCCGAGUCAAGACCAAGACCAAGAAAGUACUUUAUGCGAGGGUGAAAAAAUAUUCAGUUGCACCGGUGCUAGUGACCUGUUAAGAGUUGAAAUAUUGAGGUGAUAAAAUUCAGGUUUGAAUUGGAAUGACUUUUAGUCCACGGACAGGUGUGGAAAUACCUUUUCUUCAUAAUCUGCUCAUUUCUCUCAAAGGCACUAUUUAGUUUGGUGGUGCACUAAACCUCUUUUACUCAAUAAACACUAAUGCUUCUUUACACAGCAGCUCACUUUACUUCCUAGUCACAGUAUUCCAUCGCUGCUCCACUUGUGCAGUGUGCUGUUGUUCCUUUACUCAGUAGUAGUGUUCAAGACUGCUUUAGCUGUGACCGAUAUAUAUAUA